CCCAUGGAGGAGGAGAGUUGGCUGGGCCAUGGCAAGCAAGUUGGGUGGCUGCCACUUGACGCCCUCUUCGGCCCUUCGUUGUGAGAGCCGAACCAUCGCCGCACCCACCGCCGGCUCCGCCGCCAAGCCACUCGGUCGGCCGCAGCGGCGCCGGCGUCCAGACAGCGCUUCAUCCACGACUAGCGAACUCUCCCGGUAGCCUGAUACCGCGCCGAGAUUCGACCCCCCUCCCAAGCGCACCACGCCUCGCGAUGGCCGCCUCUGCCGCCGCCGCGGGGCGCGCGUGGGACCCGACCGUCUCGCUGCGGCUGGGCCACCCGGCGCUCGUCCUCCUCGAGCGCUGCCGUGGGGCGCGGCCCUUCCGGGCCAUCCUCGCGCACCUGCUCCGCCUCGGCCUCGCCUUCGAGACGUUCCCCAUGAGCCGGCUUCUCCACUUCGCCACCGUCGCCUCCUCCCCGCGCCUCACGCGCGAGGCCGAGCUUCUCUUCCGGCACUUCACGCCGCGCCCCAACCUCUUCAUCUACAACCUCAUGAUCUCCGCGGCGGCGGCGCGCGACUCCUCCUCCUCCUCGCCGCGCCGGGCGGUGGCUCUCUACAGGUCCAUGCUGUCGGCGUCUGUCCAUCCCGACGAGCAGACCUUCCUCGCGCUGCUGAGGUCGGUGGAGCGCCUGUCCGCGGGGAGGCAGGUGCACGCCCAUGUCGUCGUGAGCGGCUUGCACUCGCGUGUGUACCUGCGGAACUCGCUGAUCAAGAUGUACCUCGACGCCGGCGAUGUGGAGACGGCCGAGCUGAUGUUCGGUUCAACGCCGGUGUCGGACACGGUGUCUUUCAACAUCAUGCUGUCUGGGUAUGUGAACGAAGGGUGCACGGCCAAAGCUCUACUGUUUUUCCGUGAUACGGCGUCCAAGGGGAUUGCUGUGGAUCAGUAUAUGGCUGUUGCUCUGCUCACUUGCUCCGGACGUCUGAAGAAUGCAUUUCUCGGGAGGUCAGUUCAUGGUGUCAUCGUUAGGAGGAUGGACCCAGGAGAUUGGGGAUUGAUUCUGAUGAAUGCUCUUUUGGAUAUGUAUGCAAAAUGUGGGGAAAUGGAUGCAGCUAUGAGAGUCUUUGGUGAAGCUGACGAGAAGGAUGGCAUCUCGUGGAAUACCAUGGUUGCAGGAUUCGUGAAUGCUGGCAAUUUGGACCUUGCCUGCAAAUGUUUCUUUGAGGCGCCUUCCAGAGAUCGAAUAUCCUGGAACGCGCUUCUGUCUGGAUUCGUGAGAUACAAAGAUUUCAGUGCAGUGAUUAAAAUAUUUGAUGAUAUGCUUGCCAGUCGAGUAAAUCCUGAUAAAGUGACUGCUGUUACCUUGAUCUCUGCGGCUGCAAGUUCAGGAUCUCGUUAUGGAAAAUGUAUCCACAGUUGGGUGGUCAAAGAAUUUGGGCAUCAGGAUGUAUUCUUGGCAUCUGCUCUUGUAGACAUGUAUUGCAAAUUUGGAAAUGUCAAGGUAGCUUAUUCUGUGUUUGAGAAGGCCUUGGACAGGGAUGUUACCUUGUGGACAGCUAUGAUCUCUGGGCUUGCUUUCAAUGGCCAUGGAACCGAAGCACUGGAUUUAUUUCAGAAGAUGCAAGCGGAGGUUGUAACACCUAAUAGUGUCACAUUGCUUGCUGUUCUCAGUGCAUGCAGUCAUGCUGGCCUCCUGGAUGAAGGAUGCAGGAUUUUUGAUGCUAUGAAGCAAAGAUACAGUAUUGAACCAGGAAUAGAACAUUUUGGGUGUAUGGUUGAUCUCCUUGCACGAUCAGGUAGGCUGACUGAUGCUUUAGCUUUGGCUAGGAGGAUGCCAAUGAGGCCAAGCCGGUCUAUAUGGGGUUCCAUUUUAAAUGCAAGUUUGGCUUGUCAAAAUACUGAAGUCGCUGAGAUUGCUUCAAAAGAACUUCUUCAUCUUGACCCGGCAGAAGAAGGUGGAUAUGUCUUGCUUUCCAACUUGUAUGCGGCUGGAGGUCAUUGGGACCACAGUGACAAAGUGAGGCAGAACAUGGAAAGAAAAGGAGUGAGAAAAUCAGCAGGUGCUAGUAAUUUUGGAUGUUGAUGUUGUUGCUUCAGAUGCCAGCCAGGAGUUGAAGUGAAAAAAUUAGUGCAGUAUGCUGGAUUGAGAAGAAAACUGAUUCUCUUAGCCAUACUCUUUGAUUUUCAUGGUGUGACCAUGGCACCAAGCCAUUCCGACAGUGCAGUCAUCUGGCAACUAUAACCACAUUUUAUAUCUAACUGGUUGAAGUUGUUAUAAUGGCAGAUUCAUAGAGGUGGCGCUCAAGUGCUCCAAUUUUGUGAACAAUAAUACGUUGUGUUGUGUCACAUGAAGGCAAGAGAUAAAGGAGCUCGACAAGUCCUGCUACAGUUUGAGGAUUUCGAGUCACCAGUACGUUGACGACGUGACAUGGACCGAUGAACCAGCAUCGUUGAUCUGAUGCGCUUGUAGCCAAUGGCAUUGGCACACAAUUGAGCCCUGUGCUUGCUGGAGGACUAUCACUAGCACUCUGGAUGUAACAUACAAGCAAAUAUAAGCGGCCAGCCUUGUUGAUCCGAUUCAGAGGCAAGAAGGCAGGAUAUCAAACAUACAAGCAGAUAAGUGGUCAUCUAAGCUAUCCACAUCUUUGGACGGUGGAUGUAAUGUCUGGUUGAUCCAACCUCUGGAGAAAGUUCAUAAUGUGGUGCUUUCUGAAUUUCUGCAUUCCUCUGAAGAAAAGGUAACAAUGUGUGGAUAGGACAAUCAAUUUCUGACCUCAAUUCUAUAGAAGGAAGGAAUUAGGGGUAUAGCACACCCGGAUUUCCUUUCUCACAUUUGAUGAUGGCAUUGAUGUUCAGAAUAGCCUGGUAGAGUCGGGAUACGCGGAGGGAUGUAGUGUAGCCACACGGAAUUUCAUUUAUGAUUUCACGUCUGAUAUGUUCCGGUACGAAGGAUACGGAAAUAAAUGCCAAACUUAUCGCAAGUCUGAUCUA